CCCCUUCGUGACGACUAGAUGAUCACCUAUCUUCUGACGGGUCUUGGCCCGGACUAUGAUCCUUUUCUCACUUCCAUGAUGACUAAGAGCAAGUUCCUCACGCUUGAUGAUGUGUAUGCACAUCUAAUGUCGUUUGAAGC